ensembl:ncRNA Y7A9D.66 ncRNA
UAACACAACAACAACGAAAAAAAGAAGACUGAUCUCGGGCGGGCUCGAACCACCGACCUUCUGUGUGUUAGACAGAUGUGAUAACCACUACACCACGAGACCGCUGA